rnacentral:rRNA from 1 species
GAUGAACGCUGGCGGCGUGCAUAAUACAUGCAAGUCGAGCGAACGGACGAGAAGCUUGCUUCUCUGAUGUUAGCGGCGGACGGGUGAGUAACACGUGGAUAACCUACCUAUAAGACUGGGAUAACUUCGGGAAACCGGAGCUAAUACCGGAUGAUAUUUUGAACCGCAUGGUUCAAAAGUGAAAGACGGUCUUGCUGUCACUUAUAGAUGGAUCCGCGCUGCAUUAGCUAGUUGGUAAGGUAACGGCUUACCAAGGCAACGAUGCAUAGCCGACCUGAGAGGGUGAUCGGCCACACUGGAACUGAGACACGGUCCAGACUCCUACGGGAGGCAGCAGUAGGGAAUCUUCCGCAAUGGGCGAAAGCCUGACGGAGCAACACCGCGUGAGUGAUGAAGGUCUUCGGAUCGUAAAACUCUGUUAUUAGGGAAGAACAUAUGUGUAAGUAACUGUGCACAUCUUGACGGUACCUAAUCAGAAAGCCACGGCUAACUACGUG